AGAGUUUGAUCAUGGCUCAGAUUGAACGCUGGCGGCAUGCCUUACACAUGCAAGUCGAACGGCAGCACGGGGGCAACCCUGGUGGCGAGUGGCGAACGGGUGAGUAAUGCAUCGGAACGUGUCCUGUUGUGGGGGAUAACCAGUCGAAAGAUUGGCUAAUACCGCAUGAGAUCGAGAGAUGAAAGCGGGGGACCGCAAGGCCUCGCGCGAUAGGAGCGGCCGAUGCCGGAUUAGCUAGUUGGCGGGGUAAAAGCCCACCAAGGCGACGAUCUGUAGCUGGUCUGAGAGGAUGAUCAGCCACACUGGGACUGAGACACGGCCCAGACUCCUACGGGAGGCAGCAGUGGGGAAUUUUGGACAAUGGGCGCAAGCCUGAUCCAGCCAUGCCGCGUGUGUGAAGAAGGCCUUCGGGUUGUAAAGCACUUUCGGCCGGAACGAAAUCGCGCGGGUGAAUAAUCCGCGUGGAUGACGGUACCGGAAGAAGAAGCACCGGCUAACUACGUGCCAGCAGCCGCGGUAAUACGUAGGGUGCGAGCGUUAAUCGGAAUUACUGGGCGUAAAGGGUGCGCAGGCGCUUCGCAUGUCAGAUGUGAAAUCCCCGAGCUUAACUUGGGAAUUGCAUUUGAAACUACGAGGCUGGAGUGCGGCAGAGGGAGGUGGAAUUCCACGUAGCGGUGAAAUGCGUAGAGAUGUGGAGGAACACCGAUGGCGAAGGCAGCCUCCUGGGCCGACACUGACGCUCAUGCACGAAAGCGUGGGGAGCAAACAGGAUUAGAUACCCUAGUAGUCC
rnacentral:rRNA from 1 species